rnacentral:rRNA from 1 species
AUUGAACGCUGGCGGCAUGCCUUACACAUGCAAGUCGAACGGUAACAGGUUAAGCUGACGAGUGGCGAACGGGUGAGUAAUGUAUCGGAACGUGCCCAGUCGUGGGGGAUAACUGCUCGAAAGAGCAGCUAAUACCGCAUACGACCUGAGGGUGAAAGCGGGGGAUCGCAAGACCUCGCGCGAUUGGAGCGGCCGAUAUCAGAUUAGGUAGUUGGUGAGGUAAAGGCUCACCAAGCCGACGAUCUGUAGCUGGUCUGAGAGGACGACCAGCCACACUGGGGCUGAGACACGGCCCAGACUCCUACGGGAGGCAGCAGUGGGGAAUUUUGGACAAUGGGCGCAAGCCUGAUCCAGCCAUGCCGCGUGCGGGAAGAAGGCCUUCGGGUUGUAAACCGCUUUUGUCAGGGAAGAAAAGGUUCUGGCUAAUACCUGGGACUCAUGACGGUACCUGAAGAAUAAGCACCGGCUAACUACGUG